GAUGAACGCUGGCGGCGUGCCUAAUACAUGCAAGUCGAGCGAAUGGAUUAAGAGCUUGCUCUUAUGAAGUUAGCGGCGGACGGGUGAGUAACACGUGGGUAACCUGCCCAUAAGACUGGGAUAACUCCGGGAAACCGGGGCUAAUACCGGAUAACAUUUUGAACAGCAUGGUUCGAAAUUGAAAGGCGGCUUCGGCUGUCACUUAUGGAUGGACCCGCGUCGCAUUAGCUAGUUGGUGAGGUAACGGCUCACCAAGGCAACGAUGCGUAGCCGACCUGAGAGGGUGAUCGGCCACACUGGGACUGAGACACGGCCCAGACUCCUACGGGAGGCAGCAGUAGGGAAUCUUCCGCAAUGGACGAAAGUCUGACGGAGCAACGCCGCGUGAGUGAUGAAGGCUUUCGGGUCGUAGAACUCUGUUGUUAGGGAAGAACAAGUGCUAGUUGAAUAAGCUGGCACCUUGACGGUACCUAACCAGAAAGCCACGGCUAACUACGUGCCAGCAGCCGCCGCGG
rnacentral:rRNA from 1 species